GGUCCAAACAGGCCAAAGGUCCGCUCCUCCAGAGUGAUAAGCUGCUCUCCAGCUUCCUGCCUCGUCUGCGGAGCACAAAACGCCGACUAUCGGGUCCGUGCUGGUGGUGGACAGGUGGGGGGCCUUUUGAUUUCCAGCUGAACUCUCAAGGUUUAUGAUACUGAGCUGCUGAGUUAAAGGUGAGCGUUUGCUGCAAGAAUCCUAUUUAGCCACUGUAAGGUGAUGCAGUGUGUGUGUGUGUGUGUGUGUGUGUGCGUGCGUGCGUGCGUGCUUGUGCGUGUGUGUGCGCGCGCGCGUGUGUGCUUUUAAGGCCAAUAUGGACAAACACGUUACCCACAUUUCUAGGGAGGACCUGGAAGAGCUCCGAGAGGCAUUCAAUAAAAUUGACAUCGACAACAGCGGCUAUGUGAGCGACUUUGAGCUCCAGGAGCUGUUCCGCGAGGCCAGCUUCUCCCUCCCCGGAUACCAAGUUCGGCAGAUUGUGGAGACCUUCGUGGCCGGUGACACCAACAAGGAUGAGAAGAUCAGCUUUGAGGAGUUUGUUUCCAUCUAUCAGGAGCUGAAGAGCAAGAAGUUUAGCGAGACCUUCCGCAAAUCCAUCACCAGGAGGGAUGGCAUCCGGUCCUUCGGGGGGAUGUCGGGAAUCUCAAGCGUCGGGACACAACACUCCUACUCGGAUGAGGAGAAGGUGGCUUUUGUCAACUGGAUCAACAAAGCAUUGGCCAAAGAUCCUGACUGCCGCCACCUGCUGCCCAUGAACCCUGACGACGAAAGCCUCUUCACCUCUGUCCGCGAUGGCAUCCUCCUGUGCAAAAUGAUCAAUCUCUCCCAGCCCGACACCAUCGAUGAGAGAGUCAUCAACACCCGGAAGCUCACUACGUUCACAAUGACUGAAAAUCUUGUCCUGGCGCUGAACUCAGCCUCGGCCAUCGGCUGCACGGUGGUGAACAUCGACGCUCUUGAUCUGAUGGUUGGGAAACCUCAUCUGGUGCUGGGGUUAUUCUGGCAGAUUAUCAAAGUGGGCCUCUUUGCUGAUAUAGAAAUCAGACGGAAUGAAGGCAUGAUUUGCCUCCUGACCGAGGGAGAGAGUCUGGACCACCUGAUGUCUCUCUCUCCCGAGCAGUUGCUGCUACGCUGGGUCAACUACCAUUUGCGAAACGCCGGCACCAAGAGCAUCAGCAACUUCAGCGAGGACAUCAAGGACUCUCGCGCUUACUUCCACCUCCUGGACCAGAUCGCUCCCCGUGGGGAGCACGACUACAGGAGUGUCAAAAUCGACAUGAGCGGCCUUAAUGAUCGGGACCUGAACCGGCGGGCGGAGCUGAUGCUGCAGCAGGCGUCGCGUCUGGACUGCCGACAGUUCGUGACGGCGCACGACGUCACCUCGGGCAACAGCAAGCUCAAUUUAGCGUUUGUGGCCAACCUGUUCAACACGCACCCGGCCCUGGAGAGGGGGCAUGUCAAUGCCUUGGAGGCCGCCCAACUGGAGCCCGAGAGCCGCGAAGAGAAAACCUUCCGCAACUGGAUCAACUCCUUGGGUGUGAAUCCCUACGUGAACCACAUGUACCACGAUCUGUGCGACGGUUUGGUGAUCCUGCAGCUCUACGAGAAGGUGAACGUUCCCGUCAACUGGAAGAAAGUCAACCAGCCGCCAUACCCCACCUUGGGGGCUAAUAUGAAGAAGCUGGAGAACUGCAACUACGCCGUGGGCCUGGGCAGAAACAUGGCCCGCUUCUCCCUCGUCGGCAUUGGCGGCGAGAACCUGAACGAGGGAAGCCCCAUGCACACCUUGGCGCUGGUGUGGCAACUAAUGAGGAGGUACACAAUGCUGGUGUUAUCAGACCUUGGCGAUGGCGAGAAGGUGGGAGAGCAGAUCAUUCUUAACUGGGUCAACACCACCCUGAGCCAAAAGCGUAAAGAUUCGCACAUCAGCAGCUUCAAGCAUUUCCUGCCGACACGCUGUUUACACAGAGGAAAAGCGGACGUGGCUGAGGACAGGGGAAGGACGCUAAAGCCACGCCCCCAGACCCUCGAUCACACGCGAGAGAAUUCAAGAUCAACGAAUCCAUGGUUUGCAAGUGGAGGAAGUAGGAAAACGAGCUUCGCCAAGUCAAGAAGACGAAGCUGAGAUUUCGCGUAAAAAAAAGAAAAACAAAACGCGGAAACAAGGUGAGGUGGCCCGAGUUGGAAGACCAACUCGAGCAAUUGAUUAAUGAGCAGAGAAUAACUGGGGGUUUGCCAUCAUUCCGGGAGGCUUGACGAACCGCUGGACAUCCGUGUAGACAGGGCGUUCAAAGUGAAGUUGUGAGCGGCGUGGAAGCGAUGGAUGACAGAUGGCGAACACAGCUUUACUAAGACUAAGAGUUACGCCACCAUUUGUAAGGGGAUUGUGGAUGAUGGGCUAACGUGUCUGCUUGCACUGUUGUUCGAGCUUUCGCACGGCAACGAGACUGAGUCGAACCUGGCGUGUUUGAUUGAGAACUUGCCCAACUGUUCAUUUCGGAUACAGAACACGAGGACUUUGAUGGAUUUGUGGAUGAGGAUUGAUAAAAAAAUAACGACCUCCACAUCAGCACCAGCCUGCCAGUGAUUGACCUGAUCGACGCCAUCGCUCCCGGCACCGUCAAGUGGGACAUGGUGACAAGACCGGAGAGAAGCGUGAUGAAGACUGCCGACAAACUCAACAACGCCAAGUA